GGGAGGUGAGAUUCCUACAAUUCUUGAGGAUCUGAAGCGUAUUUGUGAUAUUUGUAAAAUUGUUGGAAGCAAGUGACAGGAAAGUAAGAGACUUCAAAUUGCCUAUUCUCGGUGAAAGCUGCCCAUGUUGAAGAAGUUGACCUUCUGAAGCUCUCCGCUGAAGUUGUUGCCCUUGAGGUCAAUAGUUAUGAGAUUUGUGCAAUUGCUUAGAGUUGAUGGCAGCUCCCCAGACAUGCUGUUGUGGUCCAAAUGGAGCUCCUCUAGUCUCUUGAGCUGACCUAUAGAGUCUGGGAUGUUACCAUUUAGCUUGUUGCCUCCAAGAUCAAGGUUAGCCAGAUUUCUGAGGUUGACUAUGCGUGCACCAUCAAGUAUUCCUUGCAAACCAUUGUUGGGAAAAGAGAGGUACUCUAACGAUGUAGCGCUGAAGAGUUCACCUGGGAGUGGCCCAGUGAGGUUGUUGUGGCCGGCCUUGAGCACUUUGAGCAUGGAGCAAUUACCAAGCUCAGGAGGGAUGCUGCCACUGAGUUGGUUGUAACAGAGUGCAAUCACAGUUAAGGCUGGUGAGCUGCUGCAGAAAUGACUCGGUAUCUGUCCAGUAAAGCUGUUGUUGCUGGCAUUAAGUGCGACCAGACUGUUCAUCACCUCCCAUGUCUUAGAUGGAAACUGUCCUGUAAACAAGUUACUCGAUAUGUUGAAUACCUGCAGAGGCCGGCCUGGGGUUGAAGAUGGCAGCUGACGGAGGUCUCCAUUGAGGCGGUUGAAGCUGACAUCAAGAACGACGAUGCUGUUGGACGACAUCAGUUCCAGCGGCAGGCCACCAGACAGCAUGUUGUGGGACAGGUUGAUGCGCAGCAGGCCAGUGAGCUCGCCCAGGGAUGCUGAAAUGUGCCCCUCAAGGCCCUUUGAAGUGAGGGAGACGUCGGUGACUGUCCCAUUUGCGCCGCAGGCAACCCCUUCCCAUGUGCAGCAAUGUGUGCCGUUCUGCCAUGACAAGGCGAGGCCGCCAUCCUGUGAAAGCCCAGCAAGGAACUGGAGGAGGCAGCUCUUCUCCUGCUCCGUGCAGGAGCUUGUGGGUUGGAGAAAGGCGAAGAGCAAAAGCGCAAGGGAGAGGCCUAAGAAAGGAAUGGGAAAUCCAUUGCUAUACUUUUUGCAUGAGGAAUGGAGUUGCUGCUGCAUGACUUGGCGAUGAAAGAAACUAGAGUUAAAGCAGAUACUUGAACCUGAUGAUGACGGGAUGGGCAAUGGCCUAACGAGGAAAGUGCAUGAGGAGGAGGAGGAAGAGGAACGAUGACAAUAAGCAGCCCCUGCUUCUUCUGCCCUGUUUGUCUCUUGCAGCCGUAGUCACCACAGAAAAAAAGAAAAUUGGGUCAAGCACAAGAUGGAUUCUGCGGGCACACAUCCACACUGGUUUUCUGCACAUUUGCCACAGCAGGUGGCAGCUUCCUAGCUACUUCACACGGUCAGACCUUCACGUUUCGGUUGAGGUCGCCUGCUAUAAUCUAUCGAAAAAGUCCAACCCUUAUUGUGCAAAGAAAACGGCUGCUUUGGUAGCCGCCAUUGAUUUUGUGAUUAUUUAGUUGUGACAAGACACAAUACUUUAGAUAAUGAUAUGGUUUUUUAAUCGUAUAA